rnacentral:rRNA from 1 species
UACGGAGGGUGCAAGCAUUGAUCGGAAUUACUGGGCGUAAAGGGCGCGUAGGCGGCCUGAUAAGUCAGAUGUGAAAUUCCACGGCUCAACCGUGGAGCUGCAUUUGAAACUGUCAAGCUAGAGCGUAGUUAGGGAAAACGGAAUUCCACAUGUAGCGGUGAAAUGCGUAGAUAUGUGGAGGAACACCGGUGGUGAAGACGGUUUUCUGGGCUAUGGCUGACGCUGAGGCGCGAAAGCUAGGGGAGCAAACAGG